UCCUCUCCCUCUUUCCUUUUUCUAUCUUUGCCUCUCAGAAAUCAUUGACGACCUUACACAUCUUGUGGACAAGACGGACGACAGGAUUCGUAACGAGACACGACGGGUGAAGCUGGUGGAGACAAAGUCAGCCUCCUGCGGGAUGCUGGUGGUGAUCGUCCUGCUUCUUAUAGCCAUCGUAGUGGUCGCCGUGUGGCCUGUGUAGCUGAGGAGGACGCAGUGAUCACCGACCUGUGCUGAACUACUACUUUGAACACAGUUAGAUGCAGAAUACCAUUUUUUUUUUUUGCAUCGACAGUGCACCUGUACAGUCAUUUAAUCAAGGUCUCAUCAAAUCUUUUCUCAGUGUGCAUUUUUCUAUACAAAAACUUAUUAGGUGAGAGGCAUUAGUAAUACUGAACCGAAUGUCUUCUUUUCUGCUUAGGUGUUAAUUGUUCUUUUUUAAAAGUUGUUCAAGUGUCUUGCUUAUUAAAUUCUCAAUGUAUUAAAUUGUUAAAUUAUUAAGAGGUUUGUCAGUCUAUUGGUGGUGAAGGUGGGAGCUUUUCUUUCACAAGUCUGUCUGUGGUCUGAGACUCACACUGGGUACAGUUAUUCUGCAAGCUUCUGCAACAUUUACACUAACUUGUAUUCAACCAUGUACUACUGCAGCCACUUUAAUAUUAUCAUUUGUCUUUGGAUUUCAUAACGUUUCUAGAAUAGCUCUCAGCCAAAACAAACCGCUCGGCUGUGUAGCUAACAUGGCUUUUUUCCUUCCUUGUAAAUCAAUUCAGCUUGUAAUUUCUAAUAAAGGACAUUUCCAGUUAAUAGUC